rnacentral:lncRNA from 1 species
ACAACGGUAAAAGAAAUGAAAUAACUUGACAAAAAUAAAGUUUUCUUUAACAACCACAAGUGUAUAUGAACACCUGUAUAGGCACAGUCAUGCUGGACCCAAAAUGAUUUGCCCCCUCCCUGUUUUUUUGCAGUACGGGGGAUCGAACUCAGGACAUUGCACUUGCAAGAUAGGCGCAGCACCACUGAGCUAAAUCUGAUCCUGGGCCCCCUGUUUUUCAACUGAGGAGCCAGACAUCAAGAAGCAAAGACAAAGCAGAGUGUGGUGGCACAUCCAUGUAGCCCCAGGACUCAGGAGCUGAGGCAAGAGGAUCACUUGAGCCUGAGAAUCCCUUUCCAGUCCGAGCAACAUAGCAGACUCCAUUUCCAAACAAAAACAAGGACAUCAAGCAACCAAGAAAGAAAGACGAGGGGUGGAGGGAAGAAGAGAGAGUCGCCACUUAACAGCAAAUCAGCAUGGCAGGGGAUACCCCAGCCAUGUCCCAGGGGAGCUCCAAGAACCCCAGGAGUAGAGCAGGAUCUCAAAGAGCUACAGCAUCAUCUCAGACAGCCAAUUACUUCUGCUCCUGCAAUCCCUCUUCCAAGUCUGGGGCCACUGACAGCCUGACACAGAUGAGGCAGGGAAUGUAGAGAAUUCUGGGUUUAAUGAGAUGUCACCCUACGAAUGCC